AAGUCGGAGGAAGUGGGAUGACGUCAAAUCAUCAUGCCCUUAUGACCUGGGCUACACACGUGCUACAAUGGGCGGUACAAAGGGCUGCGAACCCGCGAGGGGGAGCGAAUCCCAAAAAGCCGCUCUCAGUUCGGAUUGCAGGCUGCAACUCGCCUGCAUGAAGCCGGAAUCGCUAGUAAUCGCGGAUCAGCAUGCCGCGGUGAAUACGUUCCCGGGCCUU
rnacentral:rRNA from 1 species